rnacentral:miRNA from 1 species
CAAAACUGGUGUAAAAGCUAUUAUAAUAGAGUUGUAAAAUCAGAAACCUCGCUAGCGGUUUGACGUUUGCCGUAAACGUCAAUCUAAAGGUCUCUAAUCUAAAGUUCUCUUCGUUUACGGCAAACGUCAAACCACUAACGAAGUUUUUGAUUUUACAACUUUAUUAUAACAGCUUUUACAUCAGUUUUG